rnacentral:rRNA from 1 species
UACGGAGGAUCCAAGCGUUAUCCGGAUUUAUUGGGUUUAAAGGGUGCGUAGGCGGCUUUUUAAGUCAGGGGUGAAAGACGGUAGCUUAACUAUCGCAGUGCCCUUGAUACUGAAGAGCUUGAAUAUAGUUGAGGUAGGCGGAAUGUGACAAGUAGCGGUGAAAUGCAUAGAUAUGUCACAGAACACCAAUUGCGAAGGCA